CAGUCAUACCAACGGGAAAUCAACCUUUUGAGCUUGGUUUCGUGGGUUUUGAAGAGUUUCAAAGCCUUCGGAUUCGCGAGAUUGGGAUCUCUUGGUGUACUUUUUCGUACGGUUAGUCAACAUCGGUUUUGAAUGUCAUAAAAUGACUGGAGGAAUGUAGCUUCGAUCUCGUAUUGAAGUGUUAUAGCCUUUGGUAGAUGUGAUGUUUGAGACCGAGGAUUGCAACGGAUACCCUUUAGGGCUAUUCGUCUGAUCUCUGAUACGUUGCCCUGAUGUUGAAAGCUUGCUUAUGAUGUUAGGGUAUUACGGUCAAAAGGUUAGAACGAAUUACA
rnacentral:rRNA from 1 species